rnacentral:rRNA from 1 species
UAAGCAUGUAGGCUGAUUGUCCAGGCAAAUCCGGAUAAUCAAGGCUGAGGUGUGAUGACGAGGCACUACGGUGCUGAAGUAACAAAUGCCCUGCUUCCAGGAAAAGCCUCUAAGCAUCAGGUAACAUCAAAUCGUACCCCAAACCGACACAGGUGGUCAGGUAGAGAAUACCAAGGCGCUUGAGAGAACUCGGGUGAAGGAACUAGGCAAAAUGGUGCCGUAACUUCGGGAGAAGGCACGCUGGUGUGUAGGUGA